rnacentral:rRNA from 1 species
UUAAAUUGAAGAGUUUGAUCAUGGCUCAGAUUGAACGCUGGCGGCAGGCCUAACACAUGCAAGUCGAACGGUAACAGGAAACAGCUUGCUGUUUCGCUGACGAGUGGCGGACGGGUGAGUAAUGUCUGGGAAACUGCCUGAUGGAGGGGGAUAACUACUGGAAACGGUAGCUAAUACCGCAUAAUGUCGCAAGACCAAAGAGGGGGACCUUCGGGCCUCUUGCCAUCGGAUGUGCCCAGAUGGGAUUAGCUAGUAGGUGGGGUAACGGCUCACCUAGGCGACGAUCCCUAGCUGGUCUGAGAGGAUGACCAGCCACACUGGAACUGAGACACGGUCCAGACUCCUACGGGAGGCAGCAGUGGGGAAUAUUGCACAAUGGGCGCAAGCCUGAUGCAGCCAUGCCGCGUGUAUGAAGAAGGCCUUCGGGUUGUAAAGUACUUUCAGCGGGGAGGAAGGGAGUAAAGUUAAUACCUUUGCUCAUUGACGUUACCCGCAGAAGAAGCACCGGCUAACUCCGUGCCAGCAGCCGCGGUAAUACGGAGGGUGCAAGCGUUAAUCGGAAUUACUGGGCGUAAAGCGCACGCAGGCGGUUUGUUAAGUCAGAUGUGAAAUCCCCGGGCUCAACCUGGGAACUGCAUCUGAUACUGGCAAGCUUGAGUCUCGUAGAGGGGGGUAGAAUUCCAGGUGUAGCGGUGAAAUGCGUAGAGAUCUGGAGGAAUACCGGUGGCGAAGGCGGCCCCCUGGACGAAGACUGACGCUCAGGUGCGAAAGCGUGGGGAGCAAACAGGAUUAGAUACCCUGGUAGUCCACGCCGUAAACGAUGUCGACUUGGAGGUUGUGCCCUUGAGGCGUGGCUUCCGGAGCUAACGCGUUAAGUCGACCGCCUGGGGAGUACGGCCGCAAGGUUAAAACUCAAAUGAAUUGACGGGGGCCCGCACAAGCGGUGGAGCAUGUGGUUUAAUUCGAUGCAACGCGAAGAACCUUACCUGGUCUUGACAUCCACAGAACCUUGUAGAGAUACGAGGGUGCCUUCGGGAACUGUGAGACAGGUGCUGCAUGGCUGUCGUCAGCUCGUGUUGUGAAAUGUUGGGUUAAGUCCCGCAACGAGCGCAACCCUUAUCCUUUGUUGCCAGCGGUCCGGCCGGGAACUCAAAGGAGACUGCCAGUGAUAAACUGGAGGAAGGUGGGGAUGACGUCAAGUCAUCAUGGCCCUUACGACCAGGGCUACACACGUGCUACAAUGGCGCAUACAAAGAGAAGCGACCUCGCGAGAGCAAGCGGACCUCAUAAAGUGCGUCGUAGUCCGGAUUGGAGUCUGCAACUCGACUCCAUGAAGUCGGAAUCGCUAGUAAUCGUGGAUCAGAAUGCCACGGUGAAUACGUUCCCGGGCCUUGUACACACCGCCCGUCACACCAUGGGAGUGGGUUGCAAAAGAAGUAGGUAGCUUAACCUUCGGGAGGGCGCUUACCACUUUGUGAUUCAUGACUGGGGUGAAGUCGUAACAAGGUAACCGUAGGGGAACCUGCGGUUGGAUCACCUCCUUACCUUAAAGAAGC